UCUUUGAAAUGGACCGUUUGAUGCUCAGUUUGUACAGCUUGUACAGCUACUUUGUAAACAGAAUAAAAUCAGAUCCAGAUAGCAACAAGAGGCGACACAGAAUUUGCAAGGUCAUCUUAGAUGAGAAGAAACGCUUGGCGGCUGCUGUUGACGACUACAACAAGCUUGCUGAACCAACAAAGCAAAUCGUAUCCAGUGAUGCCCUCAUCCAGACCGACGUUUGGCCCUGGCAGAGCACAAGUGAACCUGCUGCUGACCUCCAGACAAAGAGAAAGGUCUUUGAGAAGGUGAUGGCUGUGAGGCGCCUGAGAGAGGAGGAGAUGAUCCUUUGCAGGGAGAUGUGGCAUCACUGGACAGUGUUGCGAAUGCGAUCUGUGAUGUUGGGGACAAUCUCCU
ensembl:lncRNA